rnacentral:rRNA from 1 species
GCCAUGCCGCGUGUGUGAAGAAGGCCUUUUGGUUGUAAAGCACUUUAAGCGAGGAGGAGGCUACUGGUAUUAAUACUACCGGAUAGUGGACGUUACUCGCAGAAUAAGCACCGGCUAACUCUGUGCCAGCAGCCGCGGUAAUACAGAGGGUGCGAGCGUUAAUCGGAUUUACUGGGCGUAAAGCGUGCGUAGGCGGCUUUUUAAGUCGGAUGUGAAAUCCCUGAGCUUAACUUAGGAAUUGCAUUCGAUACUGGGAGGCUAGAGUAUGGGAGAGGAUGGUAGAAUUCCAGGUGUAGCGGUGAAAUGCGUAGAGAUCUGGAGGAAUACCGAUGGCGAAGGCAGCCAUCUGGCCUAAUACUGACGCUGAGGUACGAAAGCAUGGGGAGCAAACAGGAUUAGAUACCCUGGUAGUCCAUGCCGUAAACGAUGUCUACUAGCCGUUGGGGCCUUUGAGGCUUUAGUGGCGCAGCUAACGCGAUAAGUAGACCGCCUGGGGAGUACG